AACAGUCUAAGCGUAACACUGUGCGAGUGAGAAUACCGUUUUUUUUUCUUCUAAGUGAACUUCGACAGUAGUCUAUGAGAAUUGUGAAACAAGUCAAACCUAACCACAAAAAGCCAUGAGUCACCAAUUUUGGAAGAUCUUCAAAUAUCUGCAAUAUUUUGACUUCUCCGGACUAUUCGAGGCGCUGGAGGGGUCUGAAUACGCUUACCUAGGCGAUUUGUCGGACGCGUUCGAUUUCGCAGAUUAUUUCGAUUACUCGAAGUACUCCUACGGUGACGAACUGUUCGAUAUAUUCGACUUUGGGGAUUCACACAAGCACUCCGGCGGGCUGCUGGAUUUGUUCGAUAUAUUCGACUACUAGCGGAGAUGCAAUGAUGAUUAAUAAUUGUUGAAACUUGUUGUACAAAAAUAGAGACAAAUCUUAGAAUCUAAUAAUAAUGAUAAGUUUAGUGAACAAUUCGAAAGUUUUUAUUAUAAGUUUUGCUUUGUUAGUGCUAGUGUAUAAGUGUUUUAUUUUACAAUGCUCCAAUUGACAAGUGUUUAGAAUGUGAAUAAAUAGUUAAAUGUGAAUUUUUUCUAAACGUCAUUAAAGAAUUCGAAAAGUUUCUUUACAUAGACUUAAUCAAUUUUUCAUUAUAUUCGGCAGAACAUGAUUGUGGUUACCACAACUUUCAAAAAGAUUCCGUUUAGAUUUGAUGCAAAAGUAUUUAACGAUUGAUCCGUUUCGAUCUUAGGAUCCGUUUUUGCACACUCUUGCCUUCUGCAAAGUAACAAAGUCAUAUUAGAUGUCAUUAGGUCAUUAAUCAGAGAUCGCUAGAAGUUUUGUGAUUUUCUCAUGCUUUCAUUGACUAAGUUCGAUUACAGGUGCAUUUUUGACAUUUUUGUAUUUUAAAAAAUAAAAUUGGAGAAAAUCAUA